UGGGGAAUAUUGGACAAUGGGGGCAACCCUGAUCCAGCGAUGCCGCGUGAGUGAAGAAGGCCUUCGGGUCGUAAAGCUCUUUAGGUUGGGAGGAAGAUUACGUGAGGAAAUGCAUGUAAUUUGACUGUACCGACAGAAUAAGCACCGGCAAACUCUGUGCCAGCAGCCGCGGUAAUACAGAGGGUGCGAGCGUUAAUCGGAAUUACUGGGCGUAAAGGGCGCGUAGGCGGUGAUGUGAGUGUGAUGUGAAAGCCCCGGGCUUAACCUGGGAAGAGCAUCGCAAACGACAUGACUGGAGUAGAUGAGAGGGUGGCGGAAUUUCCGGUGUAGCGGUGAAAUGCGUAGAGAUCGGAAGGAACGUCAAUGGCGAAGGCAGCCACCUGGCAUCAUACUGACGCUGAGGCGCGAGAGCGUGGGGAGCGAACAGGAUUAGAUACCCGCGUAGUCC
rnacentral:rRNA from 1 species